UGGUAGCCCAACGGAUUAGAGCAUCUGACUACGGAUCAGAAGGUUGCAGGUUCGAAUCCUGUCCGGC
rnacentral:tRNA from 1 species